rnacentral:rRNA from 1 species
UACGUAGGGCGCAAGCGUUAUCCGGAAUUAUUGGGCGUAAAGAGCUCGUAGGCGGUUUGUCGCGUCUGCCGUGAAAGUCCGGGGCUCAACUCCGGAUCUGCGGUGGGUACGGGCAGACUAGAGUGAUGUAGGGGGAGACUGGAAUUCCAGGUGUAGCGGUGAAAUGCGUAGAUAUCUGGAGGAACACCGGUGGCGAAGGCGGCGUUCUGGACUGCAACUGACACUGAUGAACGAAAGCCAGGGGAGCGAACAGG